GGGGGCGUACUGGUUUCGACUGAUUGUUUGAAGCGCAGGCGGCAUGUCGAGGAUGGUUCGUUGGCCUCGUUAAAAUCCGGACCAAAAAAAAUAAAUGCAGAUCACCAAGAUCUCGCUCUCGCGGC
rnacentral:tmRNA from 1 species